UUUUUUUGAGGUGAUCAAUCUAUGUUGGUGAUAGUAGUAGUUGGCUAAGGGACGUGUGAUCACUAGACAUUGGUUCUUUAUUUGGAAGUGGUGUUGAAGACAGAUUUUGUUGGGGGUUUUCGAUUAGUCAAAUUUGUGGAUAUGUCUACGGAUCCAGCAAACUCUCCGUCUAAUGUUUCAGGGGUGAUCCCUCCUAAUGCUACUUCUAGUUCAGGGUCUUUUGGUACCUAUAAGAGUGGUACUCAUGGUAUGACAGGCUUACACACUACCUUGGUUAAGUUGGAUGGUACCAAUUAUCCUACUUGGUCAAUGGCUCUUUCUACUUUUAUUUAUGCUAAUCGUCAGUCUAGAUGGCUUGAAGAGGAACCACCUACAGAUCCAACUAGUCAAGAAGAAUGGAAGGUCACUGAUGCUGCAUUGCGUACUCUUUUAUGGGGGAGUAUGGUUGAAUUUGUCCGCCAUCUUUUCAUGGAUUGUACGAUAGCCCGUGAGAUAUGGACAAAAUGUGCUCUACUCUAUUCUGGACAGAAUAAUAUGAGUCGAGUUUGUGAUAUGUGUGAAGCUUUAUUUGAAGCUAAAAUUGGUGAUGUCGGGUUGGGAGAGUAUUAUGCUCGUUUUUCAUCUUUGUGUCAACGUCUCAAAUCCUACCUUCCACCGGCUACCACGGUUACUCAAAUGCAACAACGAGAAGCGAAUAUGGUGGUAGUCCUCUUCCUCCGAGGUCUUGGUCCAGGUCACAAUGCCCUUCGGCAAUAGAUUACUUCUUUGGACUCUCUACCUUCCAUAGAAGAAGUAUACUCUCGAGCUGCUCGUUAUACUUCGAGUCCCCAAACUUUAGUUAUAUCACACAGUAGUGCUAUGGUGGCUUGUGUGGUCAAGGAGCUCGUGAUCGCGGUCGUGGUCGUGGUGUUUAGGGCCGAGGUGCCUCUCGUGGUGGUGGUAGUAGCGGUUCUAAAGGAGCUAGUGGGGGUCGUUUUUGUACUCAUUGUCAGCAUACAGGACAUACUGCUAAUUGUUGCUACGACCUCCAUUCUGAGCUACGGGGUCUACAUGUUUCAGCUCCUUCAUCUAGACCACCGUCUGGACAGAAUAUGGUACAUUUGACUCGUAUAGAAUAUGAUGAGCUGAUUAGGGCACGACAGCUUGAUGUUCAUUCAGGUCCAGUUGCUACCUUGGCACAUAGCAAUGAUCCUACUUGUCUCUUGUCCACUACAGCGACCCCUCGUCCUUGGGUUAUUGAUUCGGGUGCCACUCAUCAUAUGACUGCUGAUCAACAUCUUCUUACCUCAACCUCAUCAGCUUCGUCCACGUUAGUCACUUUGGCAGAUGGUUCUCAGUCCAAAGUGACAGGUUCAGGAUCGGAAGACUGGACGCCAAAUAGGUGGUGGGCGUGAGGCUGGUGGAUUGUAUUUUUUGGAUCCCGAGAUUUUUGCUGCUGCCACUACUGUUCAAAAGAAGGCUGUAGAUGACUCCUAUCGAUUACAUUGUCGCCUUGGUCACCCCUCAGCAGACGUACUUCGCCUUUUUCCUUUUAUGUCUGGUUCUAGUCUUCAGUUUGAUUGUGAAACAUGUCAGAUGGGGAAACAUCAUCGUUUGUCUUUUCCCACUCGUGUUUUGAGUCGUGCGUCUCAGCCAUUCGAGCUAGUCCACUCCGAUGUUUGGGGUCCUAGUCGGGAGUCUUCUUUUGGUUUCCGCUAUUUUGUAACCUUUAUUGAUGAUUGUACUCGUAUAACUUGGUUAUAUUUAAUCAAAGAUCGUACCGAAGUGUUUUCUUC